UACGGAGGGUGCAAGCGUUGUUCGGAUUCACUGGGCUUAAAGGGCGCGUAGGCGGGCGGUCAAGUCGGUGGUGAAAUCGUUCAGCUCAACUGGACAAGUGCCUCCGAUACUGGCCGCCUCGAGGGAGGUAGGGGCAUGUGGAACUUCCGGUGGAGCGGUGAAAUGCGUAGAUAUCGGAAGGAACGCCGGUGGCGAAAGCGGCGUGCUGGACCUCUUCUGACGCUGAGGCGCGAAAGCCAGGGUAGCGAACGGG
rnacentral:rRNA from 1 species